UCCUACAGCCAGGCCAGCUUGGCUGGGUUUCUCUCACAAGCUAAGCAGGGUUGGGCAGGGGCAGCACUUGGAGGGGAGGCUGCCUCGGAAGAGCUGGGCACUGUAGGCU
rnacentral:rRNA from 1 species